AUGAGGGGUGCUUGGACUUUUGUUCAGGCUGAGAUUAUACCCAUGGAACCUGAAACGGGUAAUGCCGACGAAGGGAUAUGUCU
rnacentral:ncRNA from 1 species